rnacentral:rRNA from 1 species
AUGAUUUGUCUGGUUAAUUCCGAUAACGAACGAGAUCUUAACCUGCUAAUUAGCGGUAAAUACAACAUAUUCUUAAGUAAAUAAGAAUAUAGAUAAAAAUAACAAAUAAGAGAACAUAUUAAGAUGUUAUAUAUAAUGUCUUUUUCCCUGUUCUUCUUAUUGUUUUUUUAUUCUAUUUCUUUUUUUACGUAAGAAUGUAUUUACUUGAUUGUAAAGCUUCUUAGAGGGACAUUGUGUGUCUAACACAAGGAAGUUUAAGGCAACAACAGGUCUGUGAUGUCCUUAGAUGAACUAGGCUGCACGCGUGCUACACUGAUAUAUAUAACGAGUUAUUAAAAGUAUAUCUUUGUAUAUAUAUAUUCUGUAUAUAUAUACAAAAGGUAUAAUUUUCCUCCACUGAAAAGUGUAGGUAAUCUUUAUCAAUAUAUAUCGUGAUGGGGAUAGAUUAUUGCAAUUAUUAAUCUUGAACGAGGAAUGCCUAGUAAGCAUGAUUUCAUCAGAUUGUGCUGACUACGUCCCUGCCCUUUGUACACACCGCC